GAAGGAUGUUUGUGGUUUAUCCCACCAUCCCUCCCUCCAUUCUCUCUCCCCCGCUUCCUGCCCCCCCCCCCAGGAAUUCCGCUGCCCACCGUCUCCCCCACGUCCCUUCCCCGGGCGGGGCUCAGCCGUGCCUCGCGCUCGUCCCCAGCAAAGCCUCCCUUUCCUUCCCCACCCCUCCAAAUCAGUAGCAAUUCCCUGUCAUUCCGGGGGGUUCUACGGGGGCUGGAUGAACCGAAGAUGCAGCAAACUAUACCCUCCCCAGGUACUUCUGUCAGAGAAAGAUCAGCUUCCGGGGGAGAACCCCAGGAAAGAGAGGCUUCCUCCCCUUUCCUCCCCUCAACUCCUCUCUAUAGGGGUGGCUAAAGAAAUGGGACCUGAAACAUGACUUUUUUUUCCUAAAGGAGGAAGGAAAAUAGGGUGCGGGGCAAUGGUGUUAAUGAGUUUUCUUUAGAUACCCUCUGGCCUUUUAGCCAGAGGGAAAGUGACAAGUAUUAUAAACCUUUCCAAGACUUGGUUCAUAACUUUAUCUUUUGAUUGUUAUCAGUGACUACCUAAUUUGGUUGCAUUUAGAUUAUAGAGGGGAUCAAACUUGGAGAGUUUCUUCAAAGUUUAUAUAUUAAUUUGAGGUGGGAGGGAGACCUCGGAGACCUUAAGCUUUACAAACACCCAGAAUACUGAUUGAUUUUUCCUUAAUUUUUCAUCAGUGAAAGUGGAAAACAGUUGUCUGUUCAGCUGGGUUCUGUGGGACACAGAGCUGCUUUUUCCUUUGGUGAAAGUUUAGAGGAAUAGCUUUUUUUUUUUUUUUUUUUUUUUUUUUUUUUUUGAAUGAGGAAUGGGCCUUAGAGAUGAUCUUUUCCAGCCCAUUGAUUUUUCAGUGAGAAAACUGGUUCAGGAGAAGUUGCAACUUGCUGAAGGUCAAGCAACAAAUUAGUGGUAAAGCCUGAGACUAACCUGUCUUUCCAGCUAUAAGAUUGUAGAAUUUCAAGCUGGAGCCUUCAAGAUCAUUUAGCCAACCCCUUCAUUUUACAAAUCAGUAAACUGAGGCCUAGAGAAGUUAAAUGAUUGCUCAAAUCCUUUGAACAUAGUUUUUGUGUAGUGUACCUAUUUCCCCAUCAACAAAACAUCAGUUUUUCUGCCAAAUCUAAGGAUGUUGAAUGUGUAUUGAGGGAAGGGUGGUAAGGAUCAGACUUACUGUAUGUACAAUAACUGGGAAAUAUUUUCAUAAUUUUCCAAAACAGUUUCAUUUUUUUUUUACAUGUAAGAAAUUUUUUUCCUUUAGUGGAAGAGGGAAUCAAAAAAGAUAGGAAAUAAACAAUGUGCAUUUAUAUAAGCAAAUAGAAUAUAUACAAUGGGGAGAAAACUCUAGUCACCAUAGGAUAUAUUAAGCUGAUGGAUUACAGAUUUUUAGGCUUCUCACCAGAAAAUGGCACAGGGUAUUAGUACCAGAAACAUAUUUAGCUUAGUUAGCUCUCAUGUCUGAUAAAGUACCAAGCAAUAAACAAAACAUAAAGGGACGAAAUAUUUAAAUUUUGACUAACAAGGAAAUUCAGAAUAAAGAGUAAAAGUGAAGAUGUUAGAUUCUCAAAUGUGCCUAUAUUUUUCAUAGCAAGUUAGCUUAACAUUUUUCCUGUCAUUGGGUUGUAUGUGUUCAUGGGAAAGACUCACAUCUUUAUAAACUGACUUCGACCUUAUUAACCUUUGAACAAAAUAUAUUGGUAUAAUCAAUUUUUUAUAUUAUUGUUGGGUUUUUUUUUUUUUUUUUUUUGAUGUGUCUUCUCUCUAUAACGGCAUCGUUUUUGAAAAUAGCAGUGGUUGAAAAAUAAUCACACUUCAUCCAGGCUUCUAAUGAUGAGCUUCUUUGAACUUAACAAGAUAAGUUUUUGCCCCUGUAAGAGAUAUUAAGGCAUGCUUUGAAUGAAUGGAUUUGCCUCAUAAACAACUUAAUACUUCAGCAAAAGUAAAAUUCAUCAAUAAAAAAAUAAGACUUGA